UACGAAGGUGACAAGCGUUGUCCGGAUUUACUGGGCGUAAAGAGCGCGCAGGCGGUCGAUCAAGUCGAGUGUGAAAGCCCCCGGCUCAACUGGGGAGGGUCAUUCGAUACUGAUCGACUCGAAGGCAGGAGAGGGUAGUGGAAUUCCCGGUGUAGUGGUGAAAUGCGUAGAUAUCGGGAGGAACACCAGUGGCGAAGGCGACUACCUGGCCUGUUCUUGACGCUGAGGCGCGAAAGCUAGGGGAGCAAACGGG
rnacentral:rRNA from 1 species